rnacentral:lncRNA from 1 species
UGGACACUCACAAAGAGACGAAGGAAGUCCGUAAACUUCUCGAUGUAGCUUUCAUCCAGUUCCUCCAGCCGGCUCUUCACCGUGUGGGCGUUGUUCUCCUUAGUAAUCUUCUGCAGGAGGUAGAAAGUCUGCUGGAACAUCCGUAACAAAUACUCUUCAAACUCCAUAGGCACACAGUUCUUGGACAUCAGUUCAUUGAUGCAGGACAUGGCCAAGACGCCCAGCCGGCCCCG